UCUUUCUUUAGGUAGUAAAGAAUACAGAGCCAGCAGUUCAUGUGAAAGGCCAGGACCCCCUUACUGCCUCAAAGCUGGCGGCUGCACCCUUAAAAGAGCAGAAACAACUCCUGGGUGAGCGGCUGUAUCCACUUAUCCAGGCCCUGCAUCCGACUCUUGCUGGAAAGAUCACAGGCAUGCUGCUGGAGAUCGACAACUCUGAACUACUGCACAUGCUCGAGUCUCCAGAAUCCCUGCACUCCAAAGUUGAAGAGGCUGUAGCUGUUCUUCAGGCUCAUCAAGCCAAGGGCCUGUCUGCAAAGUAAAGGGGCUCUGUAAGACUGAAAUGCAUGCACCCUGAAUGUCUAUAUAUUGUUCUUGAGAAUGGGGGAAAAGAAAACGGCACUACAGAGUCAUAUUAUUAAUGCAUGAUUUGCACACUACAAAUGUCCUCUUGAUGUCCACAGGGGUUUUGAUUUUGUUUAUUAAAAAAUAAAUUGUAAAAUGACAAAAGGAUAAAAAAAAAAACAUUUAUUUUUAAUUUUUGUGUGCAUUAAACGUUA